GACGAACGCUGGCGGCGUGCUUAACACAUGCAAGUCGAACGGACAGGCCCUGCUCUUGCUGGUCGCUCGAGUGGCGCGCACGUGUGUAUCACGUGAGUAUCAUCCCCUUGUCUUUGUGGUAUCUCUACGAAACUGGGGCUCAUACCCCAUAUGAUCUCCUGCUGCGUGUGGGUGAUUGGUGAGUUUCGGCGGUUCGGUAUGGACUCGCGGAUUAUCCGCUUAUUGGUGGGUUAGUGGCUUAACAGGGCUUCGACGGGUAGCCGGCCUGAGAGGGUGACCGGCGACAAUGGGACUGAGAUAAGGCGCAGAAUCAUACGGGAGGCAGCAGGGGGAAAUAUUGCAAAGUGGGCGGAAGCGAGAGGUAGCAACGCCGCGUGCGGGAUGACGGCUUUCGGGGUGUAAACCGCUUUGGAAGGUGACGAAGAGUGAGUGACGGUAAUGGGUAAAGAAGCAACGGCUAACUACGUG
rnacentral:rRNA from 1 species